AGACACUGACUGAGGGAGGAGCUGUGUGGACAGAUACAGUCUCUCAAGUACAGGAUGAUACAUACAGAAUGGUUGUGAGGUCUGUGGGGUUACAUUUGAUGGAAGUAUCAGCACACAUGGUCAGCCCCAGCACCUUCCUACCACAUCUGGGUGCUUUCACUGCCUCCCACCUUCAGUUCUGCUGCUGCUGUUGCAGGUUCACCUGAGGCUGAAUUGGCAGUCCUGGGAGCCCAGCCUGCAGCUUUUGCACCGGGAGGAGCUGCUGCCAGAAAUGCUCAGUCAGGUUAGUGGAUAUGGUGAGCUGGCUCUGCCGGGGAAGAGA